AGCGACCGCCUAGCCGCCUAGCUACCGCCUAACCGCCUAGCCUCCUGGCCGCCUAGCCACCCGCCUAGGCCGAUUUUUCAAACACUGCGAUUGACUGAAAUACUUGAAGUUGGAUGAUGUUUUCACAGAAGAUGAGGGGUUUUUCAAAUGGAUCUCAUGUUCAUGGGAUGAUGUAUGGAUUGGCCAAAGUUUGGGGAAAUCUACGUCUUUAGAAAAAGCCGAGUUUUUUCUGGAAUCUAAUCGCUGUUGCUUUAAAAUAUUGUCUGAGGUUCUCUGGAGUAUAAACAAGGUUGAAACUCUUGUUCUAAACAGAGCGACCACCAUGGCUGUCUUCUAUGGAGAUUUCAUGCCACUGCUAUUAGAGAAUGUUUGUUAUUUGUCUAUUCAUGUUGGAAGCUUUCGUGAUAUAAGUUGAAGGAAUGGUCUCCAUUUUUGAAGGAAUGUGUAAUUUGAGUACUUUGGAAAUAAUGUCUGACCCAGAAUUCUUUGAACCUAAAACUGAUUGUUCUGGGUUUAAUAUGGGAUAUUGCAGAUUGCAAAACAUUUAUUUUAUUCAUCAACUUAAGGAAGUAACCAUAGAGCUUUCCAUUGGAUCUAAUGGAAUUCAGUUUGCAAAAUAUGUGCUCGAGCAUGCUCAGAAUUUGAAGAAAAUUACAGUUUUUCAUUCACCUCAGCAGUCAAAAGCUGUAAGGAAGAUAACAAAAAGCAUGAUUGCUUCCAGUGCCAAACUUGUCUUUUUGGAGGAUAGAGAAAGAGGAAGAUAAUCAUAAUCUGAACAGCUCACCAGAUGAAGAUAAUCAUAAUAAAAGCGAGAGGAUUUCUAGUGCCACAGUUGUCUUUCAGGAAGAUGAUCAAAGAGGAAACAAAAAGCAAAGACUAAGAUAAUGUAGCUUUACAAGGGCAUCUCUCCUCCUGCAUUGAGCUCAACAACAGCAAUUUUUAGGCAUUUUAUGUUGCAAUGUUGAACUAUUAUGUAUUUGACAUGUAAUGUAGGCACCAAACUCUGUUUUGGUCUGUUCUA